AUUAGCUCAAUUUAAUUGAGUAUUGAGGUUUGGAUCAAGUCUAAUUGAAUUGGAUUCAAUUAGAUUUGACCGAAUUAGAUUAUUUGAUGACCUAAUCGCUAGAUGUUUGAUUCCUGAUUUGAUCAGAACUUGAGCUCGAUUAAUUUUUGAUUUGAUCAAGAUUUAAUUGAGUUAUUUGUGUGCCUAAUUAGAUUAGGUUCAUAUAUCUAAUUGGAUCUAAUCUAAUUUGAUUUAAUUAGGACUUAAUUGGAUC
rnacentral:lncRNA from 1 species